rnacentral:rRNA from 1 species
AUACGGAGGGUGCAAGCGUUGUUCGGAAUCACUGGGCGUAAAGGGCGCGCAGGCGGUUUGGUAAGUCAGAUGUGAAAGCCCACGGCUCAACCGUGGAAGUGCAUUUGAAACUGUCAGACUUGAGUACUAGAGGGGAAAGUGGAAUUCCCGGUGUAGAGGUGAAAUUCGUAGAUAUCGGGAGGAAUACCGGUGGCGAAGGCGACUUUCUGGCUAGAUACUGACGCUGAGGCGCGAAAGCGUGGGUAGCAAACGGGAUUAGAAACCCCAGUAGUCC